rnacentral:misc_RNA from 1 species
AAUCAUCCAAACUCAUUCUCGUCCAAAAGCUUAUCCCUCACUUUCUGAGCAGCCAAACGCCGCUGAUAUUUUCAAAUUGCCAAUGGCCACAAUCAGUCUCCGGAAGAGCAACACUCGCCUUCCACCGGAGGUGAACCGAGUCCUCUACGUACGAAACCUCCCCUUCAAUAUAUCGAGCGAGGAGAUGUACGAUAUCUUCGGCAAGUACGGAGCUAUUCGCCAAAUACGGAUCGGCACCAACAAGGACACGCGAGGAACGGCUUUUGUAGUCUACGAGGAUAUCUACGACGCCAAAACGGCAGUGGAUCACUUGUCGGGUUUCAACGUGGCGAAUAGAUAUUUGAUCGUUUUGUACUAUCAGCAGGCCAAGAUGAGCAAGAAGUUUGAUCAGAAGAAGAAGGAGGAGGAGAUUGCUAAGAUGCAGGAGAAAUAUGGGGUUUCUACAAAAGAUAAGUAAACCCUUUUCAUUUCGAACGAAAACAAACAAAAAGAAGUACUUUUGUAUUUGGGAAUUUUAGGGUUUUCUUGUUCCUUGGUUAAAUGUGGCGUACAUUUUGUUAUCGUUAGUAUUGCUUUAAUAUCGAUGUUAAUGGUUGCAUUAUAUGCUUUUGGCUUUGGGUUUGUGGACUUGUUUUGUUUGUUGUGAACUGUUGCAGAUUGUAAAUGAUGUGAUUGUAAUUGGAAAAUUUAUUGAUUGAGUCUGUUUUGGAGCCCAAAGUAAAUAAGAGAUCAGGAUUCUUUGUUGAUUUUUUUGGCCUUCUAUUGAGCUAAACAGCUGAGAUAUGUCUCCUUCCUUCUAUAAGAAGUCUCAAGCCUUUACAGAGUAGGAACAGGAUUUCUUUGUUGUUAUGAAAGUUAUUUGUAUUAGUGACUUGGUAUGUGAUUCAUGACGUUGAUGGUAACCGGAUUUUGGGAUUUGUUUAUAUCAACAUAUAUCAAGGCUUAAAUCUAUGAUACAAUUAAAUAGCAUAUGUACUUCUUUUCUUUAAUUAGAAUUAGAGAAAUAGAGUUCUUGCAUGUGUGUAAAUGAAAUCUGUAUGGUUGUGUGCUUGGAGAAUCGCUGUUUCAUCUGUCAAUUCAGAGUGAAAAGUGUGUGUGUGUGUGUGUGU